rnacentral:rRNA from 1 species
GAUGAACGCUGGCGGCGUGCCUAAUACAUGCAAGUCGAGCGCAGCGGGGGCGGGUGAGUAACACGUGGAUAACCUCCUAUACGACUGGGAUAACUUCGGGAAACCGGAGCUAAAACUGAUACUUAUAGAUGAAUCCGCGCUGCAUUAGGUAGUUGGUAAGGUAACGGCCUAACAAGGCAACGAUGCAUUGCCGACCUGAGAGGGGGGUCGGCCACACUGGAACUGAGACGCGGUCCAGACUCAUACGGUAGGCAGCAGUAGGGAAUCUUCCGCAAUGGGCUAAAGCCUGACCGAGCAAAGCCGCGUGAGGUAUGAAGGUCUUCGGAUCUUAAAACUCUGUUAUUAGGGAAGCGGUACCUAAUCAGAAAGCCACGGCUAACUACGUGCCAGCAGCCGCGGUAAUAC